rnacentral:lncRNA from 1 species
GAGCCAAGAACACAAGGUACAAGUGGAGCCCAAGAGUGACCAGGCUACCCUACAGGUUCCCGUCAUCUCUCUAUCUAGGCAGGCACUGAUGCCAGCACACAGUCAACCAGCCAGCCAGUCAGCCAGCCAGCAGCGUCUAGUGUAUUCUCUACCUGCUUCACUCCCUUCACAGACCUAGCCAGGACAUGGUGAGGACCAAGGAGAAUAGUGAACGUGCUGGUAAAAGGGACAGCUGUCUCAUCCCUGCAAGGCCAAAUUCGGCCUGCUGUUGCCAGGAACGACACUUCCCCCCUUUUGAGAUCCUCGGUGGACACCACUCCAAAGGAGACACUUCCCUUACAAAGAACGCUCACAAGGUGUGUAAGCCAGAGGACGCCCACCAAAGGCUUUUCCACCAAAGGCAUGUUGGUGAUCUGACUGGCAGGAAGAGCAGGCUGAACACACUUUAGGGGCUCUGGUAGUUAUACCAGGGGCCAGCCAGACUCUCUUAACAGAGUCCACCAUGCCCGGGGUACCAAAGUGGCCAUUAGGAUGAACAGAUUGGUAAAUUUGGUGAUGGAAACUUCUAGGGAGCAGGGGUUUUCCUUCAGAUGACACCCACACUCCAUGAAUUGGUUUUGCUUUGAAUUUUCCUUUCCAUUUCUCCACUUCCUUUUCAUUAUAGGAAAGUGAUCCAUUUAAGUCAUCAGUGGUUGUUCAUGUUCAAAGUAGUUCAGGCCCUCCUAUGGCUGCUAGCUUGGCAGCAGCAUCUGCUCAGUCAUGUCCCCUGGAGACAGGGUCAGUGCCACCUCUAUGGGCACAGCAGUGAACUAGAGCGAGGGCUUCAGGCAGCGGGAGAGCAGAAAGAACUUCCUUAAUCAUUUCUGCAUCCGCUAUGGAAGGAGAAUACUGAGAGCACAGGGUGGAAGGCAGGUGUGUGACUGCUCUAAGGCAAAGUGGGCCACUCACGGCCAAGGUCCACUCAUAUUUAUGCCUGAGACGUCAGGAUGUGUACGAGGCUU